AACGUACGCUGGCGGCACGCCUAACACAUGCAAGUCGAACGAAGUAGCAAUACUUAGUGGCAGACGGGUGAGUAACAUGUAGGUAUCUACCCUUUGGCCUGGAAUAACACGAGGAAACUUGUGCUAAUACCGGAUAAGUCUUUACGGAGAAAGCUUUAUGCACCAUUGGAUGAGCCUGCACUUGAUUAGUUUGUUGGUGGGGUAAUGGCCUACCAAGACUGUGAUCAAUAGCUGAUUUGAGAGGAUGAUCAGCCACAUUGGGACUGAGACACGGCCCAAACUCCUACGGGAGGCAGCAGUGGGGAAUCUUGCACAAUGGAGGAAACUCUGAUGCAGCGAUGCCGCGUGAGUGAAGAAGGCCUUUGGGUUGUAAAGCUCUUUCGUCGGGGAAGAAAAUGACUGUACCCGAAUAAGAAGGUCCGGCUAACUUCGUGCCAGCAGCCGCGGUAAUACGAAGGGACCUAGCGUAGUUCGGAAUUACUGGGCUUAAAGAGUUCGUAGGUGGUUGAAAAAGUUAGUGGUGAAAUCCCAGAGCUUAACUCUGGAACUGCCAUUAAAACUUUUCAGCUAGAGUAUGAUAGAGGAAAGCAGAAUUUCUAGUGUAGAGGUGAAAUUCGUAGAUAUUAGAAAGAAUACCAAUUGCGAAGGCAGCUUUCUGGAUCAUUACUGACACUGAGGAACGAAAGCAUGGGUAGCGAAGAGGAUUAGAUACCCUCGUAGUCCAUGCCGUAAACGAUGUGUGUUAGACGUUGGAAAUUUAUUUUCAGUGUCGCAGCGAAAGCGAUAAACACACCGCCUGGGGAGUACGACCGCAAGGUUAAAACUCAAAUGAAUUGACGGGGACCCGCACAAGUAGUGGAGCAUGUGGUUUAAUUCGAAGAUACGCGCAGAACCUUACCAACACUUGACAUGUUCGUCGCGACUCUAAGAGAUUAGAGUUUUCGGUUCGGCCGGACGAAACACAGGUGCUGCAUGGCUGUCGUCAGCUCGUGUCGUGAGAUGUUGGGUUAAGUCCCGCAACGAGCGCAACCCUCACUUUUAGUUGCCAUCAUUAAGUUGGGCACUCUGAAAGAACUGCCAGUGAUAAGCUGGAGGAAGGUGGGGAUGACGUCAAGUCCUCAUGGCCCUUACGUGUUGGGCUACACACGUGCUACAAUGGUAUCUACAACAGGAAGCAAGACUGCGAGGUCAAGCAAAUCCUUAAAAGAUACCUCAGUUCGAAUUGCACUCUGCAACUCGAGUGCAUGAAGCUGGAAUUACUAGUAAUCGUGGAUCAGCGUGCCACGGUGAAUGCGUUCCCGGGUCUUGUACACACCGCCCGUCACACCAUGGGAGUUGGUUCUACCUUAAGGCAAGGUUUCAAACCCUUGACCACGGUAUAGUCAGCGACUGGGGUG
rnacentral:rRNA from 1 species